rnacentral:tRNA from 1 species
CGGUUAGCUCAGUUGGUUCAGAGCAUCUGCCUUACAAGCAGAGGGUCGACGGUUCGAAUCCGCCAC